ensembl:lncRNA
GGGAAAUUAGUUUUUCAUCAUUCAAUAACAAUUUUAACAAACCCUGCCUGUUGUCUCUUAACAAAAAGCCAAUAUGAAUGCCCUUCAAGAUAUAUCAACCUUAUUGACCUCUUUAAUUAUAUACAGGGUGGGGCCUCUCGUUCAGACAUUAAUUACACUCAUGGAUCAUCGUCUCCCUUUUGAAUAACUGUUCAUCCUGUACAAUCGUCAUCAACUCCAGGAGUUUGUGGCAACCUUUAGGGCUGAGCCCCUUUCGAUGUUGCAUCCCAAACAAGCUGCAUGCAGAGGUGUGUGGAGCGGCAGGCGGGCUUCUGGAAGAAGAAUGGAAGAACAGCUUUGACUGCGCAAAAGGUCUUGUGGCUGUUGAUCGGCUGCAUCCUCACACGGUUUCUCAGCCAAUGGAGGAUCAUGUCAAGGUCGAGUUCAGGUUCAGGCUGUUGGCGGGACGUUCUGAAAGUGAGUAUCGGUACCAAUGCAGUUUAAUCAAUUAGGCUUUAUUGUUUAUGUGUAUGCACUCCGUGUCACAAUUAAGAAAAUAAAACAAAUAUGGAUUACGGCAACUUUUGCCAUUCAUUUC